GAGGGGAGGGAUGGAGGAGAAGAGGAGAGGAGUGUGGUGGUGGUGGCCUUUCUGGAUGACGUUCUGAGGAGCUGUGAGGAGCUGAAGGUCUCACCCUCAGAUUGACCUCUGACCCCACACUGUAACCCAACCCUUGUUUCUCUCCUCAUUCCCCUUCGUGAAUUUAGGAGCAGGAUUUACACGAUGGACAAGAGGUGGCGUUUCCACCAUGUUUCCACCAUGUUCCUCACAACAGUCCAUUUGAAUGAACCUUCGCUCUUCAGGAAGUGGUGGGGCAGAAUGGGACUGGUUCAGGACAGAGAGAUGGCCUGUUUCUGUGUUCAGGUGUAGAAGUGUCGACUGUGGAUCGGGAAACGGUCCCCUUUCCCAGGGUUUUAUUCAGCUUACAAAGUAAUAAAUCAAUUAUUCCUGAUGUUAAAGCAGAUGGCCUUACUACCGCUAAUACUGUUAUUACUGUACUAUAAGGGAUAUCACUGCUAUUAUAUAAUUACAGUACUAUUAUUACUGUUAUAUUACAAUUAUUUUGGUUUAGAAGUUGAUUACAGUACUGUUAUAUUACUUUCUAGGUGAUUACAGUACUGUUAUAUUACUUUUGGUGUAUAUGAUUACAGUACUGGCACAUUAUUGUUAUUUCUGCUGUGUGUUUAUCAUUAAAGUGGAGCAGCGGGCGCUAGCCUCUA